AGUGGGGUAGGCAGGGAAGUGAUGCUUGGUUCUCAGGCCAUCGCCAAGAGGGACAGUGUGAGAUAUCUUGGGUCUGUGAUCCAGGGGGACGGAGAGAUCCAGGGGGACGGAGAGAUAUCUUAAUGCAGCUUUCCCUUUUUUAUCCUAUACGCCGAGGGUCGAUUGGAAAUAGCCUCUCUGCCCUUUCGGACAGGGGUAAGGCUCGUCUACAUAUUACCCUCC
rnacentral:lncRNA from 1 species